UACGUAGGGGGCUAGCGUUGUCCGGAAUCAUUGGGCGUAAAGCGCGUGUAGGCGGUCCGGUAAGUCCGCUGUGAAAGUCCAGGGCUCAACCCUGGGAUGCCGGUGGAUACUGUCGGGCUAGAGUACGGAAGAGGCGAGUGGAAUUCCCGGUGUAGCGGUGAAAUGCGCGAUAUCGAGGAGAACACCAAUAGGCAAGGCAGCAGCUCUGG
rnacentral:rRNA from 1 species